rnacentral:rRNA from 1 species
CCCUUAGAGUUUGAUCCUGGCUCAGGACGAACGCUGGCGGCAUGCCUAACACAUGCAAGUCGAACGGAGAUUAUUUCGAUAAUCUUAGUGGCGAACGGGUGAGUAACGCGCGGGCAACCUGCCCUCUAGAUGGGGACAACAUCCCGAAAGGGGUGCUAAUACCGAAUGUGACAGCAAUCUCGCAUGAGGAUGCUGUGAAAGAUGGCCUCUAUUUAUAAGCUAUCGCUAGAGGAUGGGCCUGCGUCUGAUUAGCUAGUUGGUGGGGUAACGGCCUACCAAGGCGAUGAUCAGUAGCCGGUCUGAGAGGAUGAACGGCCACAUUGGGACUGAGACACGGCCCAGACUCCUACGGGAGGCAGCAGUGGGGAAUCUUCCGCAAUGGGCGAAAGCCUGACGGAGCAAUGCCGCGUGAGUGAUGAAGGAAUUCGUUCCGUAAAGCUCUUUUGUUUAUGACGAAUGUGCAGAUUGUGA